GUUGAAUGCCUUAAAAGAAGUUUUGUUAGUGCUUUUUGUUUUUGAUACCACAGUAAUUUCCUGAUCUUUCCCCAUCCUCCCUACCCCAAGGGAUGCUGGGAUCGCAUCUGACAACUUGGGCAGCAGCAUUUUGGAGCAUCCAUUCCUGAAAGCUAGGGAGGGGCAAGGGUGUAUGCCUGGGAGUACCAUCACUUGUUUUCCAGAACUAAGAUUGGUCAUUGCAUUUAAAAUGAGUUCUGUUGCCUUUUAAAGCUUGGUUUCAUUUACAUUUUUGUAGUUACUGGUCAUAUUAUCCUCUUGGCUCUGCUUGCUAACUGACUUUCCGAUCUAAAUCCUGGGGUCCUAUGAAAGGCAACAGCAACAGAGAAAGAGAUGCUGACAAAUGAGGAAACAGAGAACAAACAUCAUGAAUCAAGUGUUCACAUCAUGUGCUGGCAAAGGGUAAAUAUCAUCACCCCAGAGAUGCACACGUCCAGACUCGGAGGCUGAAUUGGCUCAUUCUCCUGAUGUCAACAACUGACGAGAUUCAAAGACACCGCAAAGGCCAUUGGAUUUGGUGUUAGAGAAGCUGGUGCUGCAUCCUGGCUCUAUUUAUUAUCUGAGUCUGACCUUGGCCAAAUCACUUCCAUCUUUCCAGUUCUGUCUUCUCAUUUGCAUGAACAAUUAAAAACAAAAA